rnacentral:rRNA from 1 species
CCUACGGGAGGCAGCAGUGGGGGAUUUUGCACAAUGGGGGAAACCCUGAUGCAGCGACGCCGCGUGAGUGAAGAAGUAUUUCGGUAUGUAAAGCUCCAUCAGCAGGGAAGAAAAUGACAGUACCAGACCAAGAAGCCCCGGCUAACUACGUGCCAGCAGCCGCGGUAAUACGUAGGGGGCAAGCGUUAUCCGGAUUUACUGGGUGUAAAGGGAGCGUAGACGGUUACGUAAGUCUGGAGGGAAAGCCCGGGGCGCAACCCCGGGACGGCAUUGGAUACUGUGUAACUGGAGUACAGGAGGGGCAGCCGGAAUUCCUGGUGUAGCAGUGAAAUGCGUAGAUAUCGGGAGGAACACUCGCGGCGAAGGCGGGCUGCUGGACUGAAACUGACGUUGAGGCUCGAAGGCCAGGGGAGCGAAAGGGAUUAGAUACCCGGGUAGUC